CACUCAUCCCAGGCCCUGCUCCUUCUGCUCCCUCUCUGAUGCACAAUCUCCCUUCCUCGGGCAGGUUUGAUGGAGCUGAUGCUGAUCCAAGGCUCCCAAAUGCACCAGCUGCUGAUGCACGGCCUGGCCAUGGCAGCUCUGAUGCCCCUCGGGGCAGGGACAGCCCCAGCCCAGGCGCUGGCGGGGCUUUCACAGGGUGAGGAGGAGGAGGAAGAGGAGGCCGUGGUUUUUCACCAUCACUACCUGCCCUGGACCCCUCCCCGCCCGCCCCCCGUGCGGUUCCUGCGCUCCUCACCCGAGGAAGGGCGAGCUGUGCCCCCCCCGCCGCCCCCCAGCGCCACCGGCACCGUGGGACCUGGUGUGUCCCCAGCAGAGGGUAAGGACAGCCCGGGGACACUGACACUGUCCCC
rnacentral:lncRNA from 1 species